rnacentral:rRNA from 1 species
GACGAACGCUGGCGGCGUGCCUAAUACAUGCAAGUUGAGCGAUGAAGCUUGGUGCUUGCACCAAUUUGAAGAGCAGCGAACGGGGGAGUAACGCGUGGGGAAUCUGCCUUUGAGCGGGGGACAACAUUUGGAAACGAAUGCUAAUACCGCAUAACAACUUUAAACAUAAGUUUUAAGAUUGAAAGAUGCAAUUGCAUCACUCAAAGAUGAUCCCGCGUUGUAUUAGCUAGUUGGUGAGGUAAAGGCUCACCAAGGCGAUGAUACAUAGCCGACCUGAGAGGGUGAUCGGCCACAUUGGGACUGCGACCCGGCCCAAACUCCUACGGGAGGCAGCAGUAGGGAAUCUUCGGCAAUGGACGAAAGUCUGACCGAGCAACGCCGCGUGAGUGAAGAAGGUUUUCGGAUCGUAAAACUCUGUUGGUAGAGAAGAACGUUGGUGAGAGUGGAAAGCUCAUCAAGUGACGGUAACUACCCAGAAAGGGACGGCUAACUACGUG